UCCAGAUCCUUAACCCACUGAGCAAGGCCAGGGAUCAAACCCGCAUCCUCAGAGAUCUUAGUUGCUUUCGUUCAUCACUGAGCCAUGAUGGCAACUCCUCAGUGUGCUUUCUAAUGUGGCAAUUGAAAUGUCUUUUGACUGGGGAAUGCCACAGCUGAUGAGCGCCCGGAUGGUUUUGCAGCCCAAAAGGAGGCCAACUUACAGAAAAGUGAUAAGGUGUGACUUUUUUUCCCUUAAUCGAAAAAGAAAACUAUGAAGAUUAGGGUUUAGUCCUAGACACAAAUUAACCACUUUGGUUCCUAACAGACUGCCUUCAUUUCAGCAUGCUUUGCCCCAUUCUUUGAGUCCUCCUUGAAUCAGUUCACUCUACUGGUUCCUUGAAUUAAUGAAGUACGUAAAACUUUGACACAUGCUUAUGAAUUUUUAUGAGAAUGACUUUUUUAAAACAAUUUGAAAAGAAUGCUUUUUCCAGAAGGCAUUCCAUGGGACAAGAUACGUUCCUUGCUUUCAAUGAACUUCUAGGAAAAUAAGAUGAUUAAGUCUCAGAAAUAGUGAAACAGAAGUCGAUGCAGGAUGCCUAAAAGCCUUAGGAAUACCACAAACCACUAAGUAUCCUGAGUUAAUCUUUCACUCCAGACCUGCUCCUCUCCUGGUUCUCCCAACUCAGUAAGAGAUAUUCCGUAGAAUUAUGAUAACUUCCUGGGCUUCAUUCUGUCCUGCUUUUCUCCGCCCCUCCAGAGCCAAUCCCUCACAAGUUCGAUUGAUUUGAGGUCUCCAACCUGUCUUCUCUUCUCUGUCACUUCUAUUAAGAGUGUCUCACCUGAACCCCUGCAGUACUUCCUAGUUACAUUAACUGCUACCAGUUGUGUCCUCUGUAAAUAAUCCCUGCUUUUGUUUCCAGGUUGAUGUAAUGUCCAAUCACAGCAGCUUGUUCUCUUCGUUCAAAUCCCUCCUUGCUUUCCCAUGACUCCGUGGGCUUCACUCGCAAACGCUUAUGGAAAUAAGCACAUAACAUAAACAUGGGAUUUGGGACAAAGUAAGACACUGCAGCCGACCCAAGGCUUCAGCUCUGUCUAAGCCACCUGUAGAAAAUACAGCUCACACUCUCUUCUUGGUCCAGCCAUUAAGUCCUGAAUAAAUACUGAAGAUUCCACUUAUCCCGUGUCUUCCUCAAGAGUUGGACACCAUGUCCUUUGUUGCCCCAAAGCUUUCUGCGUGUACCCAUCUUGUCACUGACCAGAGACGCCUCAUUUCGCACUUGGUUGACAAAAGAAGGCUCUGUGACCACGGACAUAGGUAACUUGGCCAUUUUCUGGAAAGUGGUUUUAUUGUUGUUUCUGGGGGUUUGUUGGCUGGUUUCGCUCUUACGCAAGAGUUUGGUGAUCUCUUCCUUCAUUAUUUUAUUUUUAAAACAAUAAUUUUGGCCCAUAAACAAAAAGCUCUUUAGAAAACAGACAAACAACAACAACAACAACAAACAACGCAAAACACAUUCUCUUCCUGCUUUUAUUCUCCCGGUUGAAGUGCUCUAUUCCCUGUAUUCUACUCUCUGACCACAGGAGGGAGCAUUUGCCUAGAAGUCCAGGAAGAAGCGCCCGCUCAAAGGAAAUCUGAAGCUCAUUUUAUGGGGCACUUUGUGUCCCUUGGGUUUCCUGCGUCUCUUCCGCACAUGCCUAGGAAAGCAGUAAUCUCAACAGAAACACUGCUUUGUCUACUUGGCUGGCACGGCAUUUCACCAUCUUGGGUUUUUCAGCCUCUGUUCACUUCAGGGAAGCUGGGCUGUUGUCUUCCUGCAGGCAGCAAACUCAUUUGCAAACACCAAAGGCUUAGGGACCAAUUACUCAGUCUCCAAGUAUUCCAGACUCCCUAAAACGCCAAACAAAAAGGGUCAAGGCAGCUCAUCAGAUUCGCUCCCCCAUCCUCCACCCCCAAAGCAAGUCCUCCCCGGAGAACAGCCAAGGGAAGGCAUGUCAUUGUGUCCAGUUUCUCUCUGUGAAUGUACUUGAUUUUUUUUUUUUUUUAAAUCACAGUUUAGGUUUUAAAAUACCUUUGCCAAAACAUACUAUGUUUCCUAGCGGAAUUUUUAAAGAGAAAAAUAGGGAUUUGCCCUUAGAAAACAUUUACCUCCCAAGAAGUGCAGGAAUGAAAAACAGCAACCAUUUCUUGUUGUUUGCACAAAACAUUGGCUAGAUAAGCUUUUAUUCCAUUAGCCUGCCAUCCUCAACCAUAAACGGCAUUUUAUACAUGGCUCUGUAAUUGACAAAGGAUCCCUGCUUCUUAGUGCUGGCGUCUCCCCAGUUCUAUGGGGGCUGCUGUGGGAAAGCACAGUUCAAAACAAGCCAGGUGCUUCAGUUUUAUUUUAACUGCUGAUGGAAGUAAAGCAGAAUCCCAAUUAUGCUGUUGCUCUUUCCAUCCUGGUUUUCUUUCUACUCGGAGAGGUCGCGUGUGUGCAGAAGACAGACAGACUGGGCCCUGGUUCUAGGUCUGCCACUAGGUAUGUGUCACUGAGUAACUACUUGACACCUUUGCUUCAUUUUUGUGAAAUGGGAUAAAUAAGAUAAUUCCCCUUGGCGGGCUGUUGUGAGAAUUAAAUGGGAUCCAUAGCAGAAUUCGUACCAAAAGUUUUCAUGUGUGGCUCAGUUAAAAGGGCUGGAUCGACAGCAGUCUUCAAAUAUCACAUUUAAAAAAAAUGUUGUUGGUUUUUCAGAUCAUUUAUAAGGAUAAAGGAUAUAGCAGCAAAGGUUAAUAGAAGAUUUUAGCUCUGAAAGAACAGCAUUUGCUGUUUCCUCCAGACAUCCUUGUUUUCCCAGGCCUCCGGGACUCUGACAAAGCCAAACAGCAGGUAUUGUGCCAGAGCACUGCAGUGUUAAGUGAAUAAGCGGGCAUUUAGGUAAAGGACUAAGCCAAAGUGUUACUGCUCAGCUAGGGUUAAUAGGGAGCAGAGGAGGAGCAAACGAGGGGCGGGGCAAGUCCUGGGCAAAGUCCAUCAGGCUUUCCUGGAAGCCUUGCAAUGCCCCCUUUCCACCACAGGGGGCCGCUAUAAGGAACCACUGUGGUCUGGAGUACCUUGGCUUCUGACAAUUUCCUUUUCCUUCGAGAACUACCUGUUUAAUUUUUCAUGUGUGUACACCAAAACAAGAGGCAUUUUUUAAGACCCGAAAGAGACCUUGACCAUUUACUCAUUCAUUUGUUUAUGUCUUCCUUUUUCAACAAAUAUUUAUUGACCAGUUACCAUGUCCUGCUCACGGCUGUGUAUGACAAAGAAUUACCUGCGUAACUGACUUGUCUAUUGGCAGACCUCGUAAACAGCAGAGCCCAAAUGAACGUCGGAUCAUCUGACUCCGAGUUCAGUUAACUUUCCACUUAAAAUAUAUGUGCAUAUAUAUUCAUAUAAUUAAUGCAUUGUAUAGUGUAUAAUCCUAUAUAUAUCAUGAUAGAUAUUAAUAUAAUUAUGAAUAGAGCUAACAUACAAUUAAUUAUAUAUUAAAUGAAUAACAACAGAACAAUGACUGAGCCCCUACAAGUGUCAGAAUUUUUUAAUACAUUUUUUCAUAGGCUAUAUGGCCUCCAGAGUAGUCUUUUGAGUCCUAGUCUGUUCCCCAUUCAUUCUAUGACCUAAAUCAAGUUAAAGAAAGUUUCUGAGCCUCGAUUUUCCCAUCCAUAAAAUGGAGCUAAUACAACCUGCCUGGCCGGGUUAUGGUAAGGAUCAAAUUUCAAUAUAGUAAAAUGAAACACUGUAAAAAUAGACAUGAAAUGCAAGGUGCAGGGUAGGGGCCCAGGUAUUUUCAUUCAUGCUUUAAACAACUUCACGUUUCCUAACGAGGAAACCAACAUGUAAAGGUUGCUAACUUGACCAAAUUUGUUCGGCUAAUAAGUGGCCGAGCUAGAAUUUAGAAUCAGAACUCGGAUCUAACUUGAAAGCAUGAGCUCUUUCCACUAUAUCGUGUUGCCAGUGUGCUUUUUGUCCGGAGUUAGUGGCUCGUUGAGGUGAAAGAACGUUUAAUGCUUGCUCACAGUGCCUCGAUUAGGCUUCCAGGUCCACACAAAUCUGUUAAACAAGCACCGUCCUUAGACAAGGGGAGAAGAGAGAAGAGCAAAGCUGUGUUUUCAUUUUUACCCUUUCUGUUGACAGGGAAUGUCCUUAGGGUAACAGCACACUUGUUCGUGAACAAGGAAAGGAUACGGCCCUUCACCUUAUAAAAACCUGUGAAUCCACUGCGAUCGGCCAAGAGUCCUUUUUUCUUUUGACCUCUUUUCAAGUUGAAAGCAAGAUUCUCUUCCCAGUUUCCAUCCCCUGCCUCAACAGAAGGGAGCACUGACAUCCCGCAGCCCAAACAGGAAGAGGUGGGACUGGGGGAAGACAAGGCAGUGCCCAUCCUGAUGUGGGGGAGUGGACACUGCCAGCUUGGUGGGAGCAGACAGGCACUCAGCCCCUCCCACUCCCAACAUUCCCUCUUCUGCCCCCAAAUGUUGUCUUGGAGUUAAAAAUAAAUACAGGAGUUCCCAGUGGCUCAGUGUGUCGGGAA